AAGUAAGAAGCAAAACUUGCAAUCAGUUUCGACCUGAUCUUUGAUAUAAAUUUAUCCUUACUUU
rnacentral:tRNA from 2 species